UUCUUGAUGACGAAAGAAAUCAUUCGGAUUCCCAUUGAUUUCCUUCGGGAAAGAUGUGAUUAUUAACCAGCUACUUCUGAAAAAA
rfam:Arabis alpina cultivar Pajares chromosome 7, whole genome shotgun sequence.